rnacentral:rRNA from 1 species
UACUAACUCUUUCUGCUUUCCUAAUACAUGCAAGUAUUACUCAGUUGCUAACUGGUUAGUAACUCUUAGGUAACUACCUAUUAGAGGGGGAUAACUAUUGGAAACGAUAGCUAAUACCGCAUACUAGUAGAUGGACCUGCGUUGUAUUAGCUAGUAGGUAGGGUAAGGGCCUACCUAGGCAACGAUACAUAGCCGACCUGAGAGGGUGAUCGGCCACACUGGGACUGAGACACGGCCCAGACUCCUACGGGAGGCAGCAGUAGGGAAUCUUCGGCAAUGGGGGGAACCCUGACCGAGCAACGCCGCGUGAGUGAAGAAGGUUUUCGGAUCGUAAAGCUCUGUUGUUAAGGAAGCGGUACUUAACCAGAAAGGGACGGCUAACUACGUGCCAGCAGCCGCGGUAAUAC